GAUCAUGGCUCAGGAUGAACGCUGGCGGCGUGCUUAACACAUGCAAGUCGAACGAAGCACUCUAUAAGAUUUCUUUCGGGAAUGACGAUUUAGUGACUGAGUGGCGGACGGGUGAGUAACGCGUGGGUAACCUGCCUCAUACAGGGGGAUAACAGUUGGAAACGACUGCUAAUACCGCAUAAGCGCACAGUACCGCAUGGUACCGUGUGAAAAACUCCGGUGGUAUGAGAUGGACCCGCGUCUGAUUAGCUGGUUGGUGGGGGUAACGGCCUACCAAGGCAACGAUCAGUAGCCGACCUGAGAGGGUGACCGGCCACAUUGGGACUGAGACACGGCCCAAACUCCUACGGGAGGCAGCAGUGGGGAAUAUUGCACAAUGGGCGAAAGCCUGAUGCAGCGACGCCGCGUGAGUGAAGAAGUAUUUCGGUAUGUAAAGCUCUAUCAGCAGGGAAGAAAAUGACGGUACCUGACUAAGAAGCCCCGGCUAACUACGUG
rnacentral:rRNA from 1 species